ensembl:miRNA Mir351 microRNA 351
CAUGGCACCUCCGUUUCCCUGAGGAGCCCUUUGAGCCUGGAGUGAAAAAAAAAACAGGUCAAGAGGCGCCUGGGAACUGGAGAAGAGUGUUUAACUUC